rnacentral:tRNA from 1 species
GGAGAUUUAGCUCAGUGGUAGAGCGCUUGCCUAGCAAGCGCAAGGCCCUGGGUUCAGUCCCCAGUUCCA